rnacentral:rRNA from 1 species
UACGUAGGGGACUAGCGUUGUCCGGAAUCAUUGGGCGUAAAGCGCGUGUAGGCGGUUUGGUAAGUCUGCUGUGAAAGUCCAGGGCUCAACCCUGGAAUGCCGGUGGAUACUGUCAGACUAGAGUGCGGAAGAGGCGAGUGGAAUUCCCGGUGUAGCGGUGAAAUGCGCAGAUAUCGGGAGGAACACCAAUUGCGAAGGCAGCUCGCUGGGACGUUACUGACGCUGAGACGCGAAAGCGUGGGGAGCAAACAGG